UGGGGAAUAUUGGACAAUGGGCGAAAGCCUGAUCCAGCCAUGCCGCGUGUGUGAAGAAGGUCUUCGGAUUGUAAAGCACUUUAAGUUGGGAGGAAGGGCAGUAAGCGAAUACCUUGCUGUUUUGACGUUACCGACAGAAUAAGCACCGUCUAACUCUGUGCCAGCAGCCGCGGUAAUACAGAGGGUGCAAGCGUUAAUCGGAAUUACUGGGCGUAAAGCGCGCGUAGGUGGUUCGUUAAGUUGAAUGUGAAAGCCCCGGGCUCAACCUGGGAACUGCAUCCAAAACUGGCGAGCUAGAGUAGGGCAGAGGGUGGUGGAAGUUCCUGUGUAGCGGUGAAAUGCGUAGAUAUAGGAAGGAACACCAGUGGCGAAGGCGACCACCUGGGCUCAUACUGACACUGAGGUGCGAAAGCGUGGGGAGCAAACAGG
rnacentral:rRNA from 1 species